AUGAAGAACGCAGCGAAAUGCGAUAAGUAAUGUGAAUUGCAGAAUUCAGUGAAUCAUCGAAUCUUUGAACGCACAUUGCGCCCCCUGGUAUUCCGGGGGGCAUGCCUGUUCGAGCGUCAUUUCACCACUCAAGCCUCGCUUGGUAUUGGGCAACGCGGUCCGCCGCGUGCCUCAAAUCGACCGGCUGGGUCUUCUGUCCCCUAAGCGUUGUGGAAACUUUCGCUAAAGGGUGUUCGGGAGGCUACGCCGUAAAACAACCCCAUUUCUAAGGUUGACCUCGGAUCAGGUAGGGAUACCCGCUGAACUUAAGCAUAUCAAUAAGCGGAGGA
rnacentral:misc_RNA from 1 species